rnacentral:ncRNA from 1 species
GGGCUCUCCGGACAGAGGAGGAUGAAAAGGGAACCAGGUGCAAGACCUGGGCAGACCCGCUGCCGUAAGCUCCACAGAGGACUCCCCUCACACUCUACUCGCCACUGUUGCCCUACAGGCAACGGGAAGGAUGCGAGGGGAGGGAGCAAGCCGGAAGACCUGCCAUAGUCUUUA